CCGCCAUCGAAAAAACACUUUUGAUUGGCCUAUUCUAUUCACAACAUCAGCAAGUGUAACACAAAUUUGUGUACAUAUUUUUUUAAAAAUACACCAACAGGAAUAAAAAUUUAAAUUUAAAUUAAACAAAAACGAUUUCGGUAGUGAACGCAAACAACAACAUUCGAUUGAGACUUGAGAGAGACGAACACAACACAAAAAGAAUACUGGAAUAAUUCAACCCGAAUUAUAUUUUUAUAUUUAUUUUAUUAAAUAGAACUUGUUUUUCUUUUUAUUAUUAUUAUUAUUGUAUUUCUUUCUUCACACACUCAUUCAUAUGACAUAAAAUUUAUAUCUCUCUGUUUUGGGGUGUUAUCUGCUGAAUUGUUUGCAAAUUCACACAACCAGAUUUAAAUUGAAGAAAAAAACGAACAAA